AAGGAAGUCAGGGCAGGAACUCAUUAGGGUAGGAACCUGGAGGCAGGAGCUGAUGCAGAGGCCAUGAGGGGAGCUGCUUACUGGCCUGCUCAGCCUGCUUUCUGGUAGAACCCAGGACCACCUGAGCAGGAAUGAAACCACCCACAACAUGCUGGGCCCUCCCACACCUAAUUAAGCAAAUUCCUCGGGGUUGGAUCUUAUGGAGGCAUCCCCCUUUCAGAUAGCUCUAGCUUGUGUCAAGUUGACAUAAAACUAGCCAGAACCCCUAGCAAGAUGGAGAUACCCCUCCCAUUCAGCCCCAGCACCUCAGGAGCCAGCAAAUGGUGUUUACUUAGAACUCCACGGAAUUAGACACGCAGAGGCAACAGCGCAGCCCCUGGUUCACAGUGAAGUGUGCUCCUGAGAUGUCAACUCUUAGAAGAUCCUUCGUGUGUACGCAAUUGCAUCUGUGUCUGUGCCCACACAUGGUCCCACUUUGGCUUUCUGAGUUCUGGAUUACAAGACAA
rnacentral:lncRNA from 1 species